rnacentral:rRNA from 1 species
AUUGAACGCUGGCGGCAGGCUUAACACAUGCAAGUCGAGCGGAGCGAGGGUGCUUGCACCUUAGCUUAGCGGCGGACGGGUGAGUAAUGCUUAGGAAUCUGCCUAUUAGUGGGGGACAACAUUCCGAAAGGAAUGCUAAUACCGCAUACGCCCUACGGGGGAAAGCAGGGGAUCCUCGGACCUUGCGCUAAUAGAUGAGCCUAAGUCGGAUUAGCUAGUUGGUGGGGUAAAGGCCUACCAAGGCGACGAUCUGUAGCGGGUCUGAGAGGAUGAUCCGCCACACUGGGACUGAGACACGGCCCAGACUCCUACGGGAGGCAGCAGUGGGGAAUAUUGGACAAUGGGCGGAAGCCUGAUCCAGCCAUGCCGUGUGUGUGAAGAAGGCCUUUUGGUUGUAAAGCACUUUAAGCGAGGAGGAGGCUCUUAAGGUUAAUACCCUUGAUGAGUGGACGUUACUCGCAGAAUAAGCACCGGCUAACUCUGUGCCAGCCGCCGCCGUAAAAC